ACAAAUCGUUUUUGCGAUCAACUCGACAAAGAGCGAGUCUCGUGUUAUCGUCUCGAUCAUAACAGAGAUCGAUCAAGGCGUUGGAUCGACGCAUGGGAAGUUUUUCCGUCAGCUGUGUAGCUGCCGUUUAACUUUCUGACCGUAGACAGACAAAGUAGACAGGUCUAGAGCUAACCUGAAGACGGCAAAGGUCACGGUAAGUUUCUCUGGGGGCAAGCGACGUUUCACUGCCACUGCAGAAGAGGUAGAUGGCACUACAGAAUUGGAGAUAGGAUGCAAGACCUCCUUUCUGAUAGCAACCUCUAAUUCAGAAGCAUCAAAGAGGCUGUGGUCACUUUCAGAACAAUAAUUUGGAUUAUUGAUAUCUGAAAUGAACUGUGAUAGGCACACUAAUUUCAGUGCUCUCUUGGCUUGCAAAGCAGUAGGCUUUGCACCCAACUUUCGUCUAAUCUGUGAAAAGGCAUUUUCCAGCGCAUCUUGUGUCAACCUGCCUGGUAAGAAAAAUGUAAACCCCUCGGAAAAUAAUUCUUUUGAGAGUUUCACAACACUCAAUGUGCUCAUAAUAAUGCCAGUUUGAAAUGGCUUCCAUGCUUUCCCAAACUGAACAGUUUCAGUCACAUGAAUGAAUUUCAAUAAAAUAUUAAAUUUCUCAUCUUGA